CCUACGGGUGGCAGCAGUCGAGAAUCAUUCACAAUGGGGGAAACCCUGAUGGUGCGACGCCGCGUGGGGGAAUGAAGGUCUUCGGAUUGUAAACCCCUGUCAUGUGGGAGCAAAUUAAGAAGCUAGUACCACAAGCGGAAGCUACCGCUAACUCUGUGCCCGCAGCCGCGGUAAUCCGGCGGUCUCAAGCGUGGUUCGGAAUCACUGGGCGUAACGCGUGCGGAGGCGGUUUCGUAAGUCGAGUGUGAAAGGCGCGGGCUCAACCCGAGGACGGCACAGGAUACUGUGAGACUAGGGUAAAGGAGGGGUAAGCGGAAUUCUCGGUGUAGCAGUGAAAUGCGUAGAUAUCGGGAGGAACACGAGUGGCGAAGGCGGGUUCCUGGACAGUAACUGACGCUGAGGCACGAAGGCGAGGGGAGCGAAAGGGAUUAGAUACCCUUGUAGUC
rnacentral:rRNA from 1 species